CUGUUUCAAUUCAACAUUGAAGGUCGUAAAAGGACGUCUUUUAUUUAUAAGUUGAAAUAAAACGUCUUUCAAUUCUGGACGGGAGGCAUUAAAUCAGGAUUUCGUCUGUGGUGCGGAAAUCGAAGAGGCCGGACCACCAUGUUUCCAACAGAUGGCGAGAACCUCACUUCAAAAGAACCAACUGCAGGAACAUUUUUCAUUGAAAACAGUGACGACAGU